rnacentral:rRNA from 1 species
ACUACUAUGUAGAGUUUGAUCAUGGCUCAGAUUGAACGCUGGCGGCAUGCCUUACACAUGCAAGUCGAACGGUAACGCGGGGCAACCUGGCGACGAGUGGCGAACGGGUGAGUAACGCAUCGGAACGUGCCCAGUAGUGGGGGAUAGCCCGGCGAAAGCCGGAUUAAUACCGCAUACGACCUACGGGUGAAAGAGGGGGAUCGCAAGACCUCUCGCUAUUGGAGCGGCCGAUGUCAGAUUAGGUAGUUGGUGGGGUAAAGGCCUACCAAGCCGACGAUCUGUAGCUGGUCUGAGAGGACGACCAGCCACACUGGGGACUGAGACACGGCCCAGACUCCUACGGGAGGCAGCAGUGGGGAAUUUUGGACAAUGGGCGCAAGCCUGAUCCAGCCAUGCCGCGUGCGGGAAGAAGGCCUUCGGGUUGUAAACCGCUUUUGUCAGGGAAGAAAUCCUUUGGGCUAAUACCCCGGGGGGAUGACGGUACCUGAAGAAUAAGCACCGGCUAACUACGAGCCAGCUGCCGCGG